UACACCACUAAUCCGCUGCCACCAACCAGGUCCUCCCCGGUAAAUCACUUAGUCUCAGUCAGGUUCUCAAAUUAACAAAGAAGAGUGUAGUUUAUUUCAGACACAAACAAACUUUAACUGCAUUCCAAACGUUGUUACUCUUUACCUUCUUAGUCUUGUUUUAUCCUGUCUCUAUCUCUUCUACCUCCCCUCACACGAGAACCCACUGCACUAACUGCCUCUCUAUUUCCAACUGCCUGCCAACUGCUUUUCCAGCUGCCUUUCCCAACCAACCAACCCACUAAAACCAACCAACUACCAACAACUAACUCAAACCUCGGGCUAAGCCCUUUUAUAUACAGGUAGGCUCCGCCUCCGGCUUUCCUAUUGGUUUAGAUAUUAACCCUUUCUCUCCACCUGUACAGACAUUUUUCUUUUUCUUUUUCUUUUUUAUAAUUUUUAUUAAGGUUUUAAACAAAGAAAAAAGAAAAACAACACACACACACACACACACACAAAAACAAUACAAAAUUUAACAAUAAAAACACAAAACAUAACAAUUAAAAACAAACUCUCUUUUCCAUUCCCAAUUUUAAAUUACUUAUUUUCUGGACUUCCUCAUACCUCCCUCUUUUGUAUUCCAAUCUGCAUUAUUUGUCCAGCAGUUUCUUUUCCACUUUUUUAAACCCAAUCUUUAAUUUAAUAAAAUUUUAAAAUAUAUAACUUCAACUUUUUUUUUAAACAUAGUCCUUGUUCUUAAUGUCAUAUACCUUUAAAUUUUUCCCUUUUAUUAUCAAAUUUCCAUUUCUUUAAACAUCUUUAAUCUUGAUCUUUAAUCUUAAUCUAUCCUUAACUUUAACCUGUAUAGCUGGAAACCACUUAUUUUCAAUCCAACAUCACUCUAACAUUCCUUAAUUUUGCAGUGUUUCUGAAGAUAGUCUUUGAAUUUCUUCCAGUCUUCCUCCAUCGACUCUUCUCCCUGAUCACGGAUUCUGCCAGUCAUUUCCGCCAAUUCCAUAUAGUCCAUCAGACAUUUUUCAAACGAAUGGGCAAAAGCCACAAGCAUACCCUCCAACAUUUCUCCAGUGAAAAUAGGGACAUCUUAGUCUACAUCAGGAAGCUUCUCCCACAUUUGAUUUCCCGCAGACAUAAAUGUCAUAUACAGAUCAACAUUGGUCACCUUGAGCCAAUCUCUCUGCCUCACCUACCUCACAGGGUUGUUGUAAAGACUUCCUCCUGAGCAGACAGUGUAGGGCUCAAUUUACAAUAAAGAGAACAACAUGAAAAUGAUGUACCGUUGGUAUUUGACUCCGGUAAAAUUAGCCAAAAUGUAUAAAAACACCUCCAACUUAUGCUGGAGGUGUAAAGAUAAAGAUGGUACUCCUUACCACAUGUGAUGGACAUGUAAAAUAGUAAAAGACUUCUGGGAAAUGAUAUACAAUGAAUUAAAAACAAAUGUUUAAGAUAACCUUUAUCAAAAUACCAGAAGCCUUUUUGUUGUUGUUUAGUUGUGUCCGACUCUUCGUGACCCCAUGGACCAGAGCACGCCAGGCACUCCUGUCUUCCACUGCCUCCCGCAGUUUGGUCAAACUCAUGCUGGUAGCUUCGAGAACACUUUCCAACCAUCUCAUCCUUUGUUGUCCCCUUCUCCUUGUGCUCUUCAUCUUUCCCAACAUCAGGGUCUUUUCCAGGAAGUCUUCUCUUCUCAUGAAGUGGCCAAAGUAUUGGAGCCUCAGCUUCAGGAUCUGUCCUUCCAGUGAGCACUCAGGGCUGAUUUCCUUAAGAAUGGAUAGGUUUGAUCUUCUUGCAGUCCAUGGGACUCUCAAGAGUCUCCUCCAGCACCAUAAUUCAAAAGCAUCAAUUCUUCGGCGAUCAGCCUUCUUUAUGGUCCAGCUCUUACUUCCAUACACCAGGAGCCUUUUUACUAGGAUUGAUAGGAGAUGAAAUACCAAAAGAAUUAAAAAGAUUUUUUAUGUAUGUGACAAGAGCCGCAAGGAUGUUACUUGUCCAGAAGUGGAAGGAAGAAAAAAUCCAGACCAAAGAAGAGUGGAUAGCCAAGAUGAUGGACUAUGCCGAAAUGGCAAAGAUGACCAAGACAACAAGAAAUUUGUGGGAAAAGUUCAUAGAAUAGCUUAAGGACCAUUGUGUAUACUUAAAAAUAUUAGCAGGGUUAUUGUAACACGUAUAAUGUAAUAUUAGUUAAAAGGAGGGGGGUGAUAAAAUAAAUUAGAAAAAUGUAAUUACAUGCAAAGAAAUAAGGGAAAAUUUGGAAAUCAGGGGGGAGUCCGUCCAAGGGAUUCAAGUUAUUCCAGAAGUGUAAAAUAUCAAAAUGUUGUUAAGGUAUCAAAAUUCUGUUUUUAAAAAAUUAAAUUAAAAUAAAAUAUUCAAAAUAAAAUAAAAUAAAGGAAUCAAUACUCUUCAUAUUUCCUAAGAUAUGGCUGACUAUUCCUCUUUUCCAAGCUAAACAUACCCAGCUCCUUCAAGCGGUUUUUGUAAGGCUUAAUUUCCAGACCCUUGAUCAUCUUGGUUGCCCUCCUCUGCACACGAUCCAGCUUGUCAACAUCCCUUCUUAAAUUGUGGUGCCCAGAAUUGGACACAGUAUUCCAGGUGUGUUCUAACCAAGGCAGAAUAGAGUGGUACUUCCCUUGAUCUGGACACUAUACUUCUAGUCUAGAAUAGUGUUAAACUGCAUCACACUGUUGACUCAUGUUAAGCUUGUGGUCCACCAAGAUUCCUAGAUCCUUUUCGUGUAUAUUGCUAGUAAGCCAGGUGUCCCCCAUCCUAUAGUUGUGCAUCUGGUUCUUCCUGCCUAAGUUCAGAACCUUACAUUUGUCCCUGUUGAAAUUCAUUUUGAAUUUUCUCAUUAAUGGUUUAAAAAAAAAAUUCAUCUGAGGUUGCCAUGAAAACUGAAACCUAAAAAAAACCCCCACCUUACAAUGGUAUUAUCAGCAGUCAUUUUAAUAAGAUCCUUUGUGCAUCUAGAGAACAUUUUAAGAGCAUUAGCAGAAGAGAAAGCCUGUCAAGGAACAUCAGCAAACAAGAAGGGAUACUAAACCCUAUCUAAUCCCUCAUUAAUGCAUGUUGCUGGGUUAUUGGUAAUCUGAAUCUUUAUGCUUGACAGCUUUUAGGGAAUCAAAUACACCAUAAGGAUCAGAGGAUGGGGAGACAAACUUUAUGACAGCCAGGGCUUUUCACCUCAAGCUAGUUACUUCAAAUUUGACCCCAAUCACUCAGUAACAUUUGGGAUAAUUCCCCACCUUCCUUUUAAAGGGACGCGGGUGGCACUGUGGGUUAAACCACAGAGCCUAGGACUUACUGAUCAGAAGGUCGGUGGUUCAAAUCCCUGCGACGGGGUGAGCUCCCGUUGCUCAGUCCCUGCUCCUGCCAACCUAGCAGUUCAAAGGCACGUCAAAGUGCAAGUAGAUAAAUAGGUACUGCUCUAGCGGGAAGGUAAACGGCGUUUCCGUGCGCUGCUCUGGUUUGCCAGAAGUGGCUUAGUCAUGCUGGCUACAUGACCCAGAAGCUGUACACUGGCUCCCUCGGCCAAUAAAGCAAGAUGAGCACCGCAACCCCAGAAUCGGCCACGACUGGACCUAAUGGUCAGGGGUCCCUUUACCUUUAAUGAUUGUUCUGCAAUGUGUUUCUAGGGGACAGGAAGCCCCGUUGAGAACUGGCCGCAGUAACUACAGUUCAUAGGAUAUGUCUGUAAGGCAGAUUCCCACAAUCUCAUUCACCCACAUGGGAAAUUCACAGAUGUACUCUGUAAAUUCUGUGCAAAAACAUAUCACAGUACUGGAAAUGUUUUACUGAGCCUGAUUCUGAUAUUUGGAAACACUAUCAUGACCCUGAAAUGGAACAGAUACUGAGGUCCCCUGGAAAAUUACAUGUUCCAGGGCUUCCUGCUGAUUUGUCCCAAAAGUUAUGCUAUUGUCCAAGCUGGAGGACAGGGGUGCCAACAUGAAUAAAAGAUGGGGGGGCAGAUAAGCCCCACCCCACACAAUCGAUCACAUGAUGCGGUGCACACACAUUUGAAUGGUAAUGCCCAUCAACUUGGGGGGAGGACCCAUCUCCCUCAAAUAUUUUAUUGUGGGGGCAGAAGCCCUGUGGACCCUAGGAGUUGGCUCCUAUGCUUGAAAAUAAAUUGGGAGGUGGGAACAUGGUGCUCAAUUUGUAUUGCAGACAAGCCUUACUAGCAGAACUUCUCAUUCCAAGCUAGAGAAGAUAACAUUCUGAGUCAUGCCAGCAUUAACUUUAGCAAAUCACUACAGUACUUGUAAAUUCAGGAAAUGCAACAGAUAUUCUUAGCCAAAUUGUGGCAGUGAAAUUCAGGUUCCAAGAAUAAAAUCAGUAAUUAGUUAGGUGUGACCUUCAGCAUGUGUAAAGGGAAUAUGUUGAGUGGGUUGGAAACAGGGGUGUGUGACAGGGUGAAGCCAGGGGUGGGUGGGUGUGAAUGUUAAGUUGUUCUUAGCUAGUUUUUUUUUGUUUUUUUGUUUGCAGGAGCUAUUCUGCCAGGAUUUUACCAUCCGCGUAAAUCUUCAUGGCCAUACUGAUGCCAAAGAGGGAUGUAUGCUGAUCCCCCCAUCUGAGAAUGUUUCUUAGUUGUGUUUAUAAUAAAACAAGUGCU